rnacentral:rRNA from 1 species
CUUGUACACACCGCCCGUCACACCAUGAGAGUUUGUAACGCCCAAAGUCGGUUGGAUAAUCUUUUUAGGAGUCCGCCGCCUAAGGUGGGACAGAUGAUUAGGGUGAAGUCGUAACAAGGUAGCCGUAGGAGAACCUGCGGCUGGAUCACCUCCUU